GAGCCAGACACUGAAUUCCUUGCCUACAAUUUCAAUUAGAAAGACUCCAGAGCGUUUUCCUCAGGUGAGGACUUUGGAGCCCACUGUUUGCACCAGCUCGUAUUUAUCAUUUGUACCACACAGCGACAAAUGAGGCUGUGCCUUGGGCUGUGUGGUACUGCACCAAGAAAAAGUAGUCCCAAAUCGUUCCACAGGGAUGCUUCCAGCCUGGAUGACAUCACAUGGCAAGGCAGAGAAGCAGGCAAGCAGGCUGGAGCUCAGUGGACCAAAGGAGCGCAGGAGAUAACAAGCAGCACAACCCACAGGGAUUUGUUAACACAGAACCAGAAAGACGCAGGUUUUAUUUAGAUACAGAUAAGUGGUCCUCAGAAGAAUACAAAAGGUCCUGCUGUAAUAUUUUCUCUUCCUACUUCUGGAGCAACAAAUCUAGGAGGUUUAAGGAGUGCAAACUGGUUGAGUAACUGAAAACUUUCACUGCGGGAACUGCAGUAAUCUCCACAAAACAACUCUGCAAACCUAUCCAUUUAAGAAACAAGCAAACAAACCACCACCUCAACAAAUUUGGGAACUCCUCUCUCUGUUACUAUUAGACAUAUUUGUAGAAUGGUGGGAUGAAAUAGAAAAUAGAAGAAAAUGAUUGCUUAAUGAUAUGACAGUGCUUAUUACCAUCAACCACUGUUUUCUGAGAGCCCUGUACACAGUUUCCAGCUCAUUUUAACAAAAAGAAAAUGAAAGCAGGAUCUACAAAUACAUAACAAAUCGCUCCAUGUCCUAACACAACCCAGGGUCAAUGUCAAGGCCCUUGUAUCUCAUUAACUGCGGGAGGGCACAAAGACAACAGUAGGGAAUAACGCUACAAGAAGUCAUGGGAUGGCACGCCCUGCCUUGCUGUAUUCCUGAUGCAUUUUCUGUAGCUAAUUAAGAGCUCAGCCAGCCCCCCUGCAUGGCUCUCAGAUGUCACCUUCUCAAGCCGAGCCAGCGCUGUUAAUAACAACGCUAAUUCAGGGGCAGGAUCUUGCCCCGCGGACGCCGGGAGAAGCUCUGCUUGAAGUAGCUGCGAAUUGCACCUACAUCCCAGGUUAAUCCAGCUCACUCUGCUUCCACGUCUUUACGUGCAAGUCCGAGCAGCUGGAGGUUUAACUCAUUUCCCCCUCCUUCAUCCAGCGCUAACGGAAUUCUGAGCCAGAUGAAACCUUUCCACUGAUGUCUGGACACCGAGGAAGAAAGCAGCAGCAGCGGGAGGUGACGACACAGAGAUGCCAGCAGGACAGUGCUAAAUUGAGAUGAUGUUUGCUGUUGAUGGUUUUAAUUACAGGACUUUCCACAUGCCCACGGCAGUGCUAACAGGCAUCCUUCUUUCCCCCGCUCUUUGCCUGUAUCUCACAUGGGAAGAACCAAACAGUACCCACAUAUUUGGGUGACAAAACAAAACAAAACAAAAGUAAUCUGACUACUUGAUCAGAGGCUUAAAGGCAGAGGAGGUGCUGUUGUUAGGUCCUCACCAAGACUAUGUGAUGCAGGUCAUAAUUUAGACUAAUUAUUUUUAAAUCAAUGGGAUCACAGAAGAGGAAUGGAUAGAAGGUGAGUAUCUAAAAUUCAGGAAGCUGAUGUUUCUCCAAGGAACUAACAAAAGCUGUAGGAAGUGUGUGGAAAGCAGCCCUGUUUUCUACCUCUGCCUUCCAUUUGAAACACUGAAUAUUCUUCAUGUUGCAAACACCCUUUUUAAGUGCCUAAGAGUAACACUUUCGUGACAAAUGUAGAACAGAACAAGGGCUGUUCAAGCACCCUUUAGAUGCAAGAUUCAGGGGAUACUAUGACCCUGUAUCUGAAAAGUAUGACUAGCAGAGGUACUGCCUGAAACCCACCCUCGGUGCUCGCCCAGCUGCUCCCUCCAGUUCCUAAAGCAGCGGAAAACCAGGUGGCCGAACCUGCCUCCAUACCCUGCAGUCGGCUCAUUUAAAUUAUGUUUCACACCUAUGAAGAUGUCCUGUACUUCCUUUCUGCACUGAAUUUUUUACUGCUGAUGCCCGUGCCCCGGCAGGUUCAGCAAUGAUGCUUCCUAUUACGCUUCCUGGACCCAGGGAGCAAGGUCUCGUUACCAGGGAGCAGCGGGACGCGCUGGCUGCCACAGUUCUUUGCAGCAAUCAGCAGCAGCAAGCCGGGGAGGUCAAUUAGCAGCUUCUGGAAUGGAAGUAUACAAACCCAAGAGCUAUUAUGUCUAUUUAGCACCUACUUCAGAAACUGUAGUUAAGUACUUUGGAAACCCUAAGUUAGGAUGAGCACUUCAAAUCUUUACUUGAAGUUUCUGGUCCUCCCAUUUGAUGUCCAGGUAGCCAAGAUCAGGUUGUACUUAACACGGUGCGGGAGGUUAAAAAGCUUUGCCUCAUGAAAUAAACGUAUUAAUAAGCUGCUUGCUAUUAGCCCUGAAGUAUCAACAGGUGCAUUUUCCUUUCUGCCCUCCACUUCCUACAGGGAUUUCAGCUAUAUAGGUACACACAUAGAUCCUCUUGAGCAUCUGCUUACGUAUCAGCUUAAAUUAUUUCCUUUAGGAAACACCAGUAUUUGACAAACCCAAAAAUUACAUGUUCUUAAGAUCAGGAAGUUGCUUUUUAGAAUCAUACAAUCAUUUAUGUUGGAAAAGACCCUCAAGACCAUCGAGUCCAACUGUUAACCCAGGACUGCCAAGCCCACCACUUAACUACAUACCUAAGCACCCAUAGGUGAUUUUUUUUUUUUUAAACAGCAGACCUUUUUUAACCACCUCCAGGGAUGCUGAUGCCACCACCUGCCUGGGCAGCCUGUGCCGAUGCUUCACCACCCUUUCAGGGAAGAAAUUUUUCCUAAUAUCCAACUAAAUCUCCCCUGGUGCAACCUGAGGCUGGCUCCUCUCAUCCUGCCGCUUGUUAUCUGGGAGCAGAGACCAACCCCCCCCUCACCACCACCUCCUGUCAGGUGGCUGUAGGGAGUGAGAAGUUUCCUGCUGAGUCUCCUCUCCACGCUAAACACCCCCAGCUCCCCCUCACAGGGCUUGUUCUCCAGACCCUUCACCAGCUUUUCCACUCCUCACUGGUCAUGCUUUUAUUAAAAGUAACUUUUUUUAUUUAUUUUUUAAAGACAAAGCAGUACAUGAAUGACAGCUGGGUGUAGGUACAAUGCAAAACACAUUAGUAAAAACCUCCUGCUUUGAACAAGAAUUGACAGCAAGUACUUACUGUCCUAGCUGUUGAUAUUGAUACGCCUUAAAGUGGAUUUUAACACUGACAAGUAAUUUCCAUUAAUUAAAAGCACUAUUCAGAGAAAAAAUUAAGAGAGUUCACAGGCUCACACGAGGGUUGAGGUUGGAAGGGAGAUCUGGACAUCACCUGGUCCAGCCCCUGCUCCAGCAGGGCCAUCUACAGCCAGGUGCCCAGGUCCAUGGCCAGAUGGCUUUUGUCUAUCCCCAGGGAUGGAGACUCCACCACCUCUCUGGGCAACCUGUGCCAGGGCUCAGUCACCCUCACAGGAAAAAGUGUUUCCUGAUGUUCGGAGUUAUGUCUUGCAUUGCAUUUUGUGCCAACCGAAUCUCGUCCUAUUGCUGGGCACCACUGAGACGAGCCUCGCUCCAUCUUCUUUGCAUCCUCCAUCAGCCAUUUGUACACAUUGAUGGGAUCCCCCCGAGCCUUCUCUUCUCCAGACUGAACAGUUCCAGCUCAGUCAGCUUCUCCUUAUAGGAAAGAUGCUCCCACCCAUCAUCUUCACGGCGCUUCACUGGACUCUCUCCAACAUGCCCAUGUCUCUCUCGUAGUGAGGAGCCCAUGAAUGGACACUCUGCUCCAGACUGGCCUCCCCAGUGUUGAUUAGAAGGGAAGGAUCAUCUCAUUCAACCUGCUGGCAACACCCUCCCUGCUGCAGCCCGGGCUACCAUUAGCCUUCUCUGCUGCAAGGGCACUGCUGGCUCACCUUCAGCUUGGUCUCCAGCAGGACCCCCAGGACCUUUUCUCCAAAGCCGCUUCCCCGCUGGCUGUCCCCCUGCCGUGCUGCAUGGAAGCUGGGCUCCUCAGACAGGAGUCAACAUUUAACUGCUGCUUCUCCCUCUCUUUUCCUUGCCCGGCAGAAAGUUGCUUUUUCAAUGAGAUGCUUAGUAGGCUUUCAAGACUUCCACAACACUGAACACGGGUGCAGAGAGAGCAAACACAGCAAACUUGUCAUGAAUCUCAUGUUUCCCCACUUGGGCCCGACAGUCAGCUGAAAGGGAACGCUAAGUCCUGUAUGGACAGAACGAGCCUUUAAUCAUCCUUUUUGCUGAGCCACCACAGCCUGGGAGCCAAACACGGCUCCGUCUCAAGUCUGCGGAGCUCUGCAACAGAGGCCCCGGUGCCAUUUCUCCAACGAUCCCACCCUGCGAUCCCGCUUGCUCUGCUGAAAACAAGGCUCUUCACACCCGCUGCAACGGGCACUCUUAGCACAGCUCGCACAAGCCGCGCCAGGGACACUCAUCUUCUGACACAGCACAAGAAAAUACAAGGCACACUUCAGGAUGCCCCAAAAGGCUGGUUAAAGCAAGCGAAAAAACAAGGCUUGUGCUAUCAAAAUUCAUGCACGUGAUAGCCCCCAUUUCGGUUUGGUGCCUACAGUGAUUCCUGGUUUCAUAUGCUGGGCAUCAAAAUAGGGAAGCAGGGCAAACACUUCCAAGAAAAAUCAAACAUUGAUUAGCGUCAUUGUACAAAUAUGAUUAAAAACAAAGGACUGUGUGUUUGUGGAUAUGUUAUAUGAUACAGGUUCUAUAAACAGUAUAUUGUUUCUUAUCUCCACCUGUUUAAAUAGAGAAGUGAAUCCACAUGUGGGUGACUAAGACUUUAAAAGGACUAUUAGUUACAAAAGCACCAUCAGCAUUAUCCAAGAGGGAAAAUAACUGCAGAUAAACAUAUCCAACACUAUUUAGUAUUACAAACACUUGUAAAACAACAUAACAGAACUUGCUGAAGGAUUUCUUAUACUUUGUCACAGUAUCCCUUCAGUGAAUUUUAAAACCUGAAUAAUAUCAGAGCCCAGGCAAUUUUAACACCCAAGGAAAAAACAAUCCUUUAUCCUCUCAUAAGCACUGACACAGUGGACAGCAAUUACCCUUUGGAAUCAUUGCUGCUAACUUGAGCUCUUUGAAGAUGUGAAGUAACUGAAUGGGAAUGCACAUUUGGGGUUGGUUGGGGGUUUUUGUUCUGGUUUUGGGUUUUUUGUUUUUCUUAAGACCCAAUUAAAAGCAUGUUUACGACUCUGGAAGAUGCUGAGGUCCAUUUGACAAGUUGGUCAAAGAAACACCUACUUAACUCCAAAGACACAAGCAGCCAAACCCACACAUGCAGGAGCACUUGUGUGCUUAACUCUGACUUGGGCAAGUACUCAGGCAGGUUAGGGACACGGGGCUUGGCACCCAGCAGCGACGAGGCAUCAGGCAGUGUGCAUCAGGAAACAGGCAGGGCAUUUAAAGCUACAGAGAUACUGCAAACACCAGAGAGCAGGUAUUAAAUGCCAGUAGAAUUCAGCUAUCACCACCCUACAUGAAGCGUUAUGCUUGUUUAAAACACACGGCUUUCCUUUAAGAAUGAGGAAAAAAUCCUGGAGGAAACAAGUCAGCACUUCAGAAAUCCUCUCUCCUACGAACACUAACAACUUAUAUGCUCCUACUCCUUUCGAACUCCAUAUAAAUCAAAUUUUUGCUUUACAGUACAAAGAAAUGAGCUAUAAUUAGCAAUCAGCUGAGAUAACUUGUCCCAUCUGGCCAGGGCUGCAGGGGCUCCACCACCUAAUCAAUACAGGAGCCCUGAGCCCCCUCCUGCACAGGGGCCGAGGUCACUGCAAGCAUCUCCCCGGAGCUCUGCCCUGUAGUUCAGCCAUGCACGGCACGGGACGUCCAGCUCUCCAACACGUGCACAUCGCUUGGCUUUCUGUGUAACCCUAAGUGUGACUCAAGGUUGGGACCUCCACACGUUUGGGUCCAAAACCCCACGGAGCACUUCAGCCACAGUCUUCAAAGCCCUACAACGUGACCAAAUAAAACUCCGGGUGCUGUGUGCCUGCUUGCAAGCCAGACUACUCAACUGCCAUCCGUUUCACUGACGGCUAUUUCUGCUUCAAGAUUUCAAAACAUCCAGCUGUUGCAGUAUUUUGGUGGUUAUUUUCCCUGCUUCCCGCAGCAGAACACAACUUUUGCAUCUGUACGCUUCCCUCCUGUAAGCUUUGCUUGUAGCUUGAUUUCAGACGAUUUUAGCACAAGCUUUUGAAAAGACUGAAGGAAAUUUCAGCCUGCAAGACAGAAGUCUUAGAAAGUUAUGUCCUUCCAAGAGCAGGUGGGGUUGUGCUACAGGGUGUAGUUUACAGGGGUUAUCAGCACUGUAAGCUUUACCCUAGGGAGGUUUCACACCAAGCAUUUCUCUGAACAUUUUCUAUCACCGUCAUUGCUAAAGCAGUACACAGGAGAGCAUGCAGAAGAAAAGCAGCAUCAGUCUGAAGGUACCAAAACACCUACACAGCAUCUGAAUAACAGCAACAACCUUUUGUCAGAGUAGGAACUUCAAACGUUAUGUCUAAAGCAAUAAUCAUUACAGUAACCAUAACCAUCAAAAGUUUCUAGAAUUUCUGAUAGGUAUGCAAAAGGAAUUUGUACAUAGCCAUGCUGCUCUAAAAUUUGACUGUCCACCAUUAAAUACAUUACGGUGGUCACAAAAUAAAAUGGAGAGCGCUUUCCAAGUCAGCAAAGCUUUCAAACUACAUAAAAAAGCUGUUCCUAGCAUUAGCUUCUGCAAAGCUUAAGACCAAAUAAGCAGUUCAAAGCUCAGUAACUGAUACAAAACGCUACCACAAAAUAAGUUGCUUGUGUCAGCACAUCAACCUUCCCACCUCCCCACCUCAGCCUCUGUUCCAACACCUGGUUCCAAGAAGACAAAGGAAAUCACUAAGACCAAUAGCUCUGAAGCAGGACCAGCAAAGCUCUGGUUUGCUUGGCAGCAGCAAGCGCGUCUCUGCUCUGUGAUCUGGUCCCUUUCAAAUCAGGAAGGCUGCAAAAUCUGCUGGAAGGAAAACCCAUGAAAGCCACCAGUGCCUUUGCGCUGCACGGGUUUUGUUAUUGCAGCGUUUCCCUUCAAAGGGAAAGCCCUAAGCUUCUUUCCACAAGCCACCACCCCAAAACAUCACCUGUGAUCUCAAUGGCCUCCUAAUCACGCUAUUUUAUGGAAAGCCUAGCUUUUGGCUCAGAAUGACGUAACUCUGUUUCUGGAUUCAGUGCUAAUCCAAAAACAGUCAGAUUCGCAUUGCAGGCUGAUUUGUGGGUUUAAAUUUUUAAGACCUUUGAGUAAAUCUUACUGCUUUUAAAAAGUUACAUAUGCAGCAGUGCUGUUCUAAGUAAGAAAAAAUGUAGAGUAAUUCCAUGCAAAUAUCUAAAAAUAGGACUUAGGGGGAAAAAAAAAAUCCACCUCCUUAAAAAUGCUUGAAUUAGUAUAAGACUAGUAGAGACAAUGUUUCCUCAAGAUACGAGUGGAACCACAUCAGAAGACACGUCCAAUAUUGGCAAGCUGCGGUCAGCAUCCGAAAACCCAGCCAUGACUUUUAUGAGUGCCGUACAGUGGGAAAAGGCUCUUUCCCACAGUUGAUGCUG